GGAAUCCAGGAGAAGCUGACUGCAGCACGCCGCGUGAGUGAUGAAGGUUUUCGGAUCGUAAAGCUCUGUUGUUAGGGAAGAACAAGUGCGAGAGUAACUGCUCGCACCUUGACGGUACCUAACCAGAAAGCCACGGCUAACUACGUGCCAGCAGCCGCGGUAAUACGA
rnacentral:rRNA from 1 species